CCGUAGCCCAAGAGAUCGGGAUAACACCUGGAAACAGAUGCUAAUACCGGAUAAUAACAGAUGAUGCCUAUCAACUGUUUAAAAGAUGGUUCUGCUAUCACUCUUGGAUGGACCUGCGGUGCAUUAGCUAGUUGGUAGGGUAACGGCCUACCAAGGCGAUGAUGCAUAGCCGAGUUGAGAGACUGAUCGGCCACAUUGGGACUGAGACACGGCCCAAACUCCUACGGGAGGCAGCAGCU
rnacentral:rRNA from 1 species